AAGACUAUACUUCACAGGAUCAUUUCUGUAGUCAGUCUUCUUUAUUUUUCAUUGCAAAAUGAAAAAUUUCGCGCCCGCGAUGAGGAGGUAUAUCGUUUUAUCUGUAGCGUGAGGUUUUGAACUUUGUCUUUUUUAAGUUUGACUUUGGGACAAUGUUUCAUCGAUGAUCGCUCGGUUAUAACGGAUAAAACGACUUCUGAGUGGA